ACUCACUGACACAUGAGACACAUUGAGCAGAAGAUCCUGGAACUCACCAACAAGAUCAUUCAGCUGCUGACUGGAGAGGAGGGGGAGUAUAUAGAGGAACACAGGGGUCUGUACAAGGACGUGAUGAUGGAGAAUCACCGGCCCCUCACAUCACUGGAUGGGCCCAGUAACAGAGAUACCCCAGAGAGAUGUCCCCGUCCUCUGUAUUCCCAGGAUUGUACAGAGGAGAAUCACAGGAUCCCACAGGAGGA